rnacentral:rRNA from 1 species
AACGAACGCUGGCGGCAGGCUUAACACAUGCAAGUCGAGCGGGCCCUUCGGGGUCAGCGGCAGACGGGUGAGUAACACGUGGGAACGUACCUUUUGGUUCGGAACAACUCCGGGAAACUGGAGCUAAUACCGGAUAAGCCCUUAGGGGGAAAGAUUUAUCGCCAAAAGAUCGGCCCGCGUCUGAUUAGCUAGUUGGUGGGGUAACGGCCCACCAAGGCGACGAUCAGUAGCUGGUCUGAGAGGAUGAUCAGCCACACUGGGACUGAGACACGGCCCAGACUCCUACGGGAGGCAGCAGUGGGGAAUAUUGGUCAAUGGGCGCAAGCCUGAUCCAGCCAUGCCGCGUGAGUGAUGAAGGCCUUAGGGUUGUAAAGCUCUUUUGUCCGGGAAGAUAAUGACUGUACCGGAAGAAUAAGCCCCGGCUAACUUCGUG